rnacentral:rRNA from 1 species
AGGUUACGAGCUUCACUCCCAACCCAAUGUGAACCAUACCAAACUGUUGCCUCGGCGGGGUCACGCCCCGGGUGCGUCGCAGCCCCGGAACCAGGCGCCCGCCGGAGGGACCAACCAAACUCUUUUCUGUAGUCCCCUCGCGGACGUUAUUUCUUACAGCUCUGAGCAAAAAUUCAAAAUGAAUCAAAACUUUCAACAACGGAUCUCUUGGUUCUGGCAUCGAUGAAGAACGCAGCGAAAUGCGAUAAGUAAUGUGAAUUGCAGAAUUCAGUGAAUCAUCGAAUCUUUGAACGCACAUUGCGCCCGCCAGUAUUCUGGCGGGCAUGCCUGUCCGAGCGUCAUUUCAACCCUCGAACCCCUCCGGGGGGUCGGCGUUGGGGAUCGGGAACCCCUAAGACGGGAUCCCGGCCCCGAAAUACAGUGGCGGUCUCGCCGCAGCCUCUCCUGCGCAGUAGUUUGCACAACUCGCACCGGGAGCGCGGCGCGUCCACGUCCGUAAAACACCCAACUUCUGAAAUGUUGACCUCGGAUCAGGUAGGAAUACCCGCUGAACUUAAGCAUAUCAAA